rnacentral:lncRNA from 1 species
GUGGGGAGUAGAUUGUACAGUGUAUUUUAAAAAUUAGUUGACGUUUAAAAUUUCCACAUGAUUAUAACCCAUGUCUCUGGCUUUUCAGAAGAUCUGGUGCCCCUAGGCCCUGAUUCCUGCAAGGAUGUGUGCUCAUAAAAAUUUAAUGAAGAUCUGCCUGUCCAUAAACCUCACAAAAACAGCUUUUUCUUAUUCUAUUCAGUACUGUCCCUGACCUCCUGGAUUCUCAAAGGAGAGAAAGCACAUCUCCAUUUCACUGGGAGAGAGCAGAGCUUCAAGAGUGAUAAUACCUUCCAGGAGCUUCUUACCUGGAGUAAGAAGCUUCAAGAGAAGAGUAGGUAAGUCCACUGCUUUGCAGUGAAGCAGCAGAGAACUUGAACACCAGCUGAGGUGGUACUUCUUGGGAUUCAGUCUGGAAUUGUGGAGAACAGAAAAGGAAGUGGACAGUGGCCAUUGAGGAGACAGGUUAAGAGCAU